UAGAACCUGAAUUCCAAUUUAUGAAAUAAUUACUGUAUGCGUCCGUUCGUAACAGUGUUACCAAUGCUACUUCAAUGAGAAAUCCGAAUUCUAUGUCAAAAAUUUUGAAAAAUUCCGUGCCAUCUGAAAAAAAAUCCGCCAGUUCAUAGAACCAUAUAUUAUUUAAAAAACUCAAAAAAUUGGAUAUUUUCCAUGGGCUCGAGUUAAAGAAAACAUUUGACAGGCUCUUUCUGGUUUACAACGAAUGCCCAAUAUUAAUUUAACAAUAUUUGCAAUAUGCAAGACAUAUAUCUCAUUGAUUUUGUUCAAUUCUUAGGUCUUAGGACUGCUGCAUAAAUCCACCAAAAGUUGGCUUGCUAGUGUUAUUUCUUAGUUCUUAGGAAACGUGCUUAAACGCCAUAGACCUAAUUUGAUAUUAGGUCUAUGUUAAACGCCCUCAUUGAUUUGUUAUCGUUCAAUUCUUAGUCCUUAGGUACGGCGCAUAAACUCACCAUUAGUCCUUAGGAAUGGUGGAUAAACCCACCAUAACGCAAAAUAUAUUUGCAUAAGAUUGUAUAAUAUACUACAUACCUAAGUAUUUAAUCGAUUUAACUGGUGUAAAAAACUUUAAAAUUGAAAUCACAAAACUUAUCGUAGUUUAUGUUAUGUUAUUAAAUUGAUAUGUUUUGUCAUUUUCAUGAUAAAAAAUUGGUUUUGGCAGUUGAGGGCUCUGUAGAACAACCAUUUAUUACCAACUCAGAAACUCAGAUUACAAAGUUUUUGGAAAUAUAUGUAGACGAUACACUGAAAUGAAAAGAACAUAUUUUUAAGCUAGGGUAUAGCUUGGCUUUGGACUGUUAUUCCUUAAGUGUACUGACGAGAUAUCUGGAUAAGAUCUCCAUGAAGUUUUGAUAUGGAAUCAUGUUUAUAGGCAUACUCCUGAAGCAAUUCAAAUAUGCAAUCUCCAGAAAAGGGCAUUCAGAAUCAUUCUCAAUCUAGGAUACACAAACAUGUAGAAAAAAAAUUUAGUAAUAAUGGAAUACUGACUGCUAUGGCGAUGUACUUACAGGAAUAUCUGAUUUUUGUUUUCAAAAACAGGAAUAAAUUUUAAUUGAAGUCA